UGAGUCCAUCCCCUCUACCCGAUGCCCCCAUCUAUCUCGCUUCUCUCUCUCUCUCGCCUUCUCUUUUUCCGCCGCCGCCGCCUUCGCCGGCCGGUUCCGACGAAAUCCGGCGGUCUCAGCCAUCGUUCUGGCUACCGAUCUCCUCCUCUCCUCGUGCUCUAUAUGCUCCACUCCAUCGACUCGUCGAUCCCACCCUCCCGUGCUUGCCCGCAUCGGUUUUACCCGUCUAGGGUUUCGGGGUGCUCGACCUCCUCGUCGCCGGCGAUGCUCCGCCGUCUUGGUCCGGUCGUCUCCGUCUCCUGCUGCACUCUCUCGUGCUGUUGUGCCUCCUAAAUGGCGCGGUGCUCUCUCCUCUCUGAGCUCUGCCAUAUUCUUUGUGCGUGGCAGCUGAUGCAGCUCUGCCUCCAUGGCUCCAUCCCCAUGCUUGUAGCAGCGGCCCAAGGAGGAGCUUCAUACUCGGCAUGUGGAGCUCGAGACGCGACGGUGGUCCAUGGCACCGAGACCAUCCGUCUUCCUCUACAGAAGCAGCGCGGGCUGCAGAGACGCCCGGCUCCAUCCUGCUCUCAUAUCGCAGUUCUUCUGCCCGACGAAGAAGAGAGGCGAAUAGGAGAACACGAUGCAAAUGUUGUUUCACUAUGCCUACAAGGUGUUCGAAGAAAUUCCAAGAAGACUGACAGGGAGUUUUUGUAUCAGAACAUGUAUUUGUAGGUGUUAUGUCAAAAGACCUGAAAUGUAGGCUACCUAUGUUGAUUAUAAUAAGGGUUUGUUUCCUUGUAUGCUGAUUUAGAUGUUUGUUUUCAAUGUCUUUGAGUAAGCCUGUCAUGCCAUUGUUUUACUUCAGAGUUUUCAAGUUUGCCAUAUACCACUUUUUGAGCUAAGAAAUACUUAUAGUUGACUCAGCCAAGAAAUACUUAUAGUUGAAUAUGGUCUGAUAAGCUCCUUGUUUGACUCUGAAUCCUCCAGAUAAACUCGAGCAAUCAUACUACAACAUUUCCUCAACUGCAAUUAAAGUCGAAAGAUGGUUUGUAAAUGUUCCAUGGUUGCUUACUUCAAAAAAUUUCUCACAUAAGUAUGUAUUUGGACAGAUCAUAAUGUCCGGUGUGUAGUGAUGCUUGAUAAAACAUCUGCUUUUAGCCCUGGGACUCAUGCUUCAGCAUAUGUUCCAUCACGUGAUAACUAUACACUUGGUUAAUAGUGUUUCCUAUUUUCUUAUCCUUAGCUUACCCUGCAUUCUUGAUACUUCAGUUAACAUGUUUAUUAGUUUUUCAUGUCACUCCUGCUUGACAUGCCAAUUCCAAAAGAAACAAAAUCCUGAUACCUCAAUCUUGAAGUUUAUAGAUUGGGUGGUUCGUGUGCAGGUACAACAACAAAUUAAGUAAUAAGUAGAAGUCGACGAUCAGAGGUGCAAAUCGACAACCGGCUCUUCAUGUUAUGGAUUCUUCAUUUUGUUUUUUUCCUAGCUUAGUUUGUAGGUGCAUUCGGAUUUUGUUUUGGGGACAAAGAAUAAUCCAUUUUUAAUUGGGGACCUGUUGCUUAUUUUGUGCCGGACUGAAAAGCUCAACUAAAGGAAGACACUUUUUUUCUAUGUGCAAAUUCUUUUAUUGUUGGAAGAAUAUGUAAAGAAGAAAGAAAUUUUACCCCAUGAGUAAUUCAUCGAAUAUCAUGUUUGUAGAUUCACGUAUAACUUGUAGGACAAGUGAUGAGGAGGGGAAGCGGCUACGAUCAAGCCACUGGCGUUGGGUCGACGGUGUCGUGCCUCUGCGACCGGGAUCAGGCAAGAUUCAUCCAUUUCCGUGACAAGUAAUUCCGAACGGAGGGAGUAGAUGGGAAGAAGUGGCGCCCCUCUCCCCUGAGCUUGGCAGCAGCAGCAGCGAGGACAUCCGCGACGUAUAUCCCAAGAAGUUGCCAAACUACAAGGCCAAGCUGAAAAAUUUCUUUGAAGAGCACUUGCAUACUGACGAAGAGAUACGCUAUUUUCUUGAGGGCAGUGGUAGACUGGAUACUUUGAUGCGAGGGACCAAAAUGAAGAGUGGAUCUGUAUAGCAGUGAAGGAAGGGGGCAUGAUUGUUUUGCCUGCAGGAAUGUAUCACGGAUUCACAUUGGAUAAUGACAACUACAUCAAAGCUGCCCUACACAUACUGGAAGCAGGAGAAUGAAAGGGGUGUGAAGCUCGCCGUCGACACGCAUCGGCUUUGUGUGCGCCGCCAGCGGUCAACCACUCGGCAUCCAACCAGGUACCACCCAAUCGAUUCCAUCAGAAAAUCGACUCUCACUUUUCUCCUGUCUGUCCACCCUUUUCCAAAUGCUCUAGAUCUGAAUAUACUGCUUCCAUAGUAGCUCACAAAUGGCUCUCUUACAAGCUACUAUAGGUUAUGUAGUAGAUUCUUAAUUUAUGCCCUACAUCUCUUCGAAAUAUGUUGGUUCUAGCUAACCAGUCUCUUCACAACAAUACAACCAUCAAUUUGUUAGGUUUAAAAAUGUAAAAUAUAUGCAAGGAAGAGCCUGCCGCAUUGACACGAAGAAUGUGCUUACCCACAAUUUUUCAUGCAUCAUUGUUGAAUCACAAUGAUAUAAACUCACAGCAUACCUAUCUGGCAUUUUGCAUUUUGUAAAACAGUGCACUGUGAACUAAAUUCACUCAGUGCAGGAAGUAUACAUCAUUAUCUGUCUUCACAAAAUACCUCAUUAUCUGUCUGCACAAUUUGUGAGGCAAUGGACUUUGUUAAACUUUUAUCACUGCUGCUUGCCCGCUUGCGCCUCAAUACUAUGUUCGAUUCUAUUUGAAUUCAUAUACACAAUUUCUAUUUCAAACAAAUAUUAUUCUUAUUUCUCACGCUAACAAUUCUCGAAACACGUUUUCCGUAGUGUGAUGAAGACGACCAUCCAGAGUACAUACGCGGUAAGCAUGCGCCAUGUUGGUUAUGUAUGAAACGCAGCUGCAUCGCCUGCUAUUUUGUUCUCUUCUUCUCCACACUGCUGAAAACCAGCAUAUUAUAUAUGUAAAUACAAACAAGUUAUAACAUCAUGAUACACAAUAUAACAUCAUAUUAGUCUAAUUCUUGCUCUGCAGUUUUAGGUACUGUGCUUGCCUGGUAUUUGUUUCCUGACUUUACUGAUUCCUCUCACCAUGGCUCUCUAUCAUCAUUUCCAGUGUCACUACUGCUAUGAAACUUUUCUUGAACCAUUUGUGAGUUCUCAAGUUUAGAGCUUAAAAGGAGUUGCUGUACAAUUUUGUUUUCUUAUGAUUUUGUCCGAACAGUAAUAAUUUACUUAGUUGUUUAGCUUCAUCUAUUCUUGGGCCCACUUUUCUCUAAGUUGAAGCUUUAGCUCCAAGAAACCAAUCAUGUUUAAUUUGCAAUGAGCAUGUGUCUUAUUCAUCAUAUAUGUGUGUGUUCUCAACUUUAGGAGUUACAAGGAGCGAUGGUACAAUUUUACAAUCUGCUAUGCUUUUGUACUUGAAGUGCACUGCUUCCGAAGAAUGAUCCUUAACUUAGGUACUUACCUUCAUGUCUUUCUUAUAGGAUAGCUUUGGAGCUUGGGUACACUUUUCUCUUAUAUAAAGCUUCGUCUUCAAACAAUCAAUGAUAUUUGAGGCUGUUCCAUAACCCACUUCAUUUGGUUCUCACCGAUAUUGAGCGCAAUGCAGUAACACCUGAUGAGCUUGAGGAACAUUGUUAUUGGGGCAAUGAGGUUAAGCUCUAUGAGCACCAUGUAGACGCCCUAUUUGUCAUGUUCUGGCGCAAAAAACCAAACAUCAAGUACUAUGUAUGCACCAUCAUACAAGACAUUUGCCAAGCCAGGCCAGUGAAUCGUAACUUCAAAACACAUUCUUUCUUGCAUAUUGCAUGACACUGUACAUCCCUCUCAAUUCCUUCCUUUCUCCUGCCAGUAUUUUCAGGUCCACUACACCAAAGAGAAUCCGAUGGACUACAUUAACCUGGAUGAUGAUACACCGAAGAUCAGGCUUGCUGACGGCAAUGUGCAUGAUGAUUGUCGCAUCAUGCUGUGAACUGACAAGAGGGCCACCAUCACCACCAACUUGUCAGAGUUCUGCCACCGUGCACACAUCCGCGAAGGAGACAUCUGCACCUUCCACUUCAAGGUCACCGAAAAUGCCGCCUUGCUCUCACCGUGCAUCGCCUCUAGACGCAUUAUCGACAAUGACAGAAGUCGCGUAUGAAUAUGAUCCAUCCAUGUACGGAGCUUAUGACGUACUGAAUCUUGCUUCUUCUUUUGGAUGUUGCAACAUGGUGCCUUUGAAUAGAUAGCAUAUAUGUUGUCGGGCAUGUAACCUCUAAGAUCAUCACUCAUCAGCUUUAAUUGCACCUUUUUAUAUCUGUAUUGCGACUUU